GGGAGAAGGGAGUCCAAUGGUUUGCUGUAUAAUUUCUCACUCGUCUCUGUGCGAGUAAACUUCCUUAGUAAGGUAUCGACUUACUGACCAAGAAGUCUGUGUUUUGAGCGUCAAUCACCAUGGAUGCAUCCUUUGGUCUACCUCCUCCAUCGAUCAAUUCCGAUUCUCCCCAACAAGAUGAACAGAUGGAUCUUUACUUGAAGAUUGUAAAGACAGUAUGUUUGAAUUUAAAGGGGUCUGAGACAAUUAAAACUCUAAAAGCGCUGAUACAUGAGAAGGAAGGCAUUUGUGAAAAGAAUCAGGAUCUGUUCUUUGAUGGUAAUCUGCUCACAGAUGGUCAAAGGCUUCUUGAUUGUGGUGUUCGGAGGAACUCUACUCUUCAUCUUAUUGUCCAGAAUUCUGUUGCAAUAAAAUUAUUUGUCAAAAUAUCAUCUGAGCAGAGGAUUAUCAUGGUGGAAGCAACUGCUUGUGAUACUAUCCACAACAUCAAAUUGAUGAUUCAGUCAAAGCAGGGGAUUCUGUCAGAUAACUUCACUCUUGUCCAUGAUGGACAUCUACUUGAAGAUGAAAGGACUCUGGCCUCCCUCAAUAUAAGGAGCAAUUCAACUAUCCAUUUGGUUUUUUGUCAGAAAGAAGUGCUAUCCAUUUUUGUGAAAGCACCUGAUGAAGAGAACGUAACACUAAGAGUUAAAGUUAUGUUUACCGUUGAUGAUGUCAAAGCAAUUUUUGGUAGCAUGGUUGGUAUCUCAGUCAGUGGUUGGAAUUUGUUUUAUGCCGGAAAACAGCUUGAGGGUUCCAAAACCCUGGCCUUUUAUGACAUCAAAGAAGGAUCUUUCUUGGAGUUGUUACCUACUGUGAUGCAGAUAUUUGUUAAGACUUGGAUUGGAAAAACCCUAGCCCUUGAUGUGCAGGAACGAGAUACUGUGAAAUAUAUCAAGGAAAAGCUUGUUCAGAAGCUGCAGAUCCCCAUUGAUCUUCAGAGUAUUGUAUAUGCUGGAAGGCGGCUUGAGAAUGACCGGGAUCUGGCAAGUUAUGGCAUCCAGAGGCACUCUACUCUGCAUAUGGUACUUGCUCCCAGUUCAACGGUUAUUAAGAUGCCGUUAACCGACAUUGGCUUCGAGUUACCAGCUACUACUGAUAUUUGUAGUUUGAAGUCUAAGAUCCAACGUAAAUUCCAUGCCCCAGUGAAGGAAGUGUUGUUCAAGGGGAAGGCAUUGCAUGAUGACCACACUUUGGCUUAUUACAACAUUGAGAAGGAUGGACAAUUGGUUGUGAUUCUUUGACCAUUGUAAAUCCUAUGGUAUGCACAAUAUUAGUGAACUUGUGUGAUAGACUGUCCAAGGGAAAGGAAGGAUAAGGUAAGGAUUUGAAGCUUUAGCGUUAGCGUAGAAGCAUUCCAGGCCCUUUGUCUGUGUGUUGCUCAGUAUGCGCUAUGCUCCAUUUUUAGCUGUUAGGAAAAGAGGACUUCCAAUACUCCUGAUGGAUUAGGCUCAACUUUCUGGCAUCCAGUAUUUUGUUCCUGAUAUUCUGUGCAAAUUAUAGUUUGAUAGUUGACCUAAGUAUAAUCUUAAUAUAAUCAUAAUUGUGUUCUGCUGUGCAUUGUUGUUAUUGAAAUAUAAUUUAAAUUCUGCAGCAAUGUUACUCCUCUUUUAAGAUGGAAUGGGUAUAGUAGCUACAAAC
rnacentral:misc_RNA from 1 species